GAUUAUUGGGCGUAAGCGCGCGCAGGUGGUUUCUUAAGUCUGAUGUGAAAGCCCACGGCUCAACCGUGGAGGGUCAUUGGAAACUGGGAGACUUGAGUGCAGAAGAGGAAAGUGGAAUUCCAUGUGUAGCGGUGAAAUGCGUAGAGAUAUGGAGGAACACCAGUGGCGAAGGCGACUUUCUGGUCUGUAUCUGACACUGAGGCGCGAAAGCGUGGGGAGCAAACAGGAUUAUAUACCC
rnacentral:rRNA from 1 species